GAUGAACGCUAGCUACAGGCUUAACACAUGCAAGUCGAGGGGAAACGACAUCGAAAGCUUGCUUUUGAUGGGCGUCGACCGGCGCACGGGUGAGUAACGCGUAUCCAACCUGCCCAUCACUUGGGGAUAACCUUGCGAAAGUAAGACUAAUACCCAAUGAUAUCUCUAGAAGACAUCUGAAAGAGAUUAAAGAUUUAUCGGUGAUGGAUGGGGAUGCGUCUGAUUAGCUUGUUGGCGGGGUAACGGCCCACCAAGGCAACGAUCAGUAGGGGUUCUGAGAGGAAGGUCCCCCACAUUGGAACUGAGACACGGUCCAAACUCCGACGGGAGGCAGCAGUGAGGAAUAUUGGUCAAUGGGCGAGAGCCUGAACCAGCCAAGUAGCGUGCAGGAAGACGGCCCUAUGGGUUGUAAACUGCUUUUAUAAGGGAAUAAAGUGAGAGUCGUGACUCUUUUUGUAUGUACCUUAUGAAUAAGGACCGGCUAAUUCCG
rnacentral:rRNA from 1 species